CUCAUUUCUCUAGGGCUUUCUCCGAAAAAAAAAAUCUCGUUCUCGAAAUUUCUGGCGAUAAACUCUUCUGUCAAAUAUUUUUACAACCAGAGAAGUUCACGACAUUCUUAAAAACACGAUCCUGGAAAGCGCUUGAAUCGGAGUGGAACAAUCGUUGAAGAAUGUGGAGAAAUCAUCAUUGACAGAUUGAAGACAAGUGUGAAUCUUCGAGUUGAACGUACGGCUUAAGAAGUAGCAACACGAAACAGAUAAGUUCUUUGACUUCUUUUAUGUUUUUGUUUUUUAGUUUUAUCAAACUCCAAAAAGAUCAUAGGCAGACACUUAUCUAAUAGUGUUUCUGCCAGAUUCUUAUUUUUGGGAACAUUGUCUCGAGUCCCUGUUGCAGUGAAAGCUUAGUCCCAAAGGAAAUUUAAUUAAAUCCAUCUCCUUAGAAACUGUUGGUUGGUAGUGCAUGAAUGUCUUAAGAGAUGUUUGGGGAUGGAAAGUAAAACACAACCUUAGUACCCACGGCUUUAACAAAACAACCAUCAGCUUAAAAGAAAUGUCUUUAGACAGAAAACAGCUAUUUCUAUAGCUACGAAAAUUGAUGGAUGUAUAAACGACCAUCAGCUUACAAGAUAGUCUUAAGACAAAGGCUAUGAGUUGGUUUUGUACUUGUUGGAUGGAAAAUAACGACCACGAGUCAUGAAAACCAAGUGUCCUGAGUCCCUGUUGCGUUAAAGCUUAGUCCCAAAGGAAAUUUAAAUCCAUCUUCUUAGAAACUGUUGGUUGGUAGUGCAUGAAUGUCUUAAGAUAUGUUUGGGGAAGGAAAGUAAAACACAACCUUAUUACCCACGGCUUUAACAAAACAACCAUCGGCUUAAAAGAAAUGUCUUUAGACAGAAAACAACUAUUUCUGUAGCUAUGAAAAUUGAUGGAUGUAUAAACGACCAUCAGCUUACAAAAUAGUCUUAAGACAAAGGCUAUGAGUUGGUUUUGUACUUGUUGGAUGGAAAAUAACACACACCUUAGUAGUACCCACGGCUUUACAAAAUACAACCCUUGGCUUAAGAAAAAAAAAGAGUCCUUUAGACAGAAAAUGGCUAUGUCUAUAGCUAUGAAACUUGAUGGAUGGAUAAACGACCAUCAGCUUACGAAAUAGUCUUAAGACAAAGGCUAUGAGAGUUGGUUUUGUACUUGUUGGAUGGAAUAUAACACACACUUUAGUAGUACCCACGGCUUUACAAAACACAACCAUCGGCUUAAGAAAAAAAAGAGUUUUUUAGACGGAAAUGACUAUUUCUAUAGCUAUGAAACUUGAUGGAUAGAUAAACGACCAUCAGCUUACAAAAUAGUCUUAAGACAAAGGCUAUGAGAGUUGGUUUUGUACUUGUUGGAUGGAAAAUAACACACACCUUAGUAGUACCCACGGCUUUACAAAACACAACCAUCGGCUUAAAAAAAAGAGUUUUUUAGACUGAAAAUGGCUAUGUCUAUAGCUAUGAAAAUUGAUGGAUGGAUAAACGACCAUCAGCUUACGAAAUAGUCUUAAGACAAAGGCUAUGGGAGUUGGUUUUGUACUUGUUGGAUGGAAUAUAACACACACUUUAGUAGUACCCACAGCUUUACAAAACACAACCAUCGGCUUAAGAAAAAAAAAAGAGUUUUUAGACAGAAAAUGACUAUUUCUAUAGCUAUGAAACUUGAUGGAUAGAUAAACGACCAUCAGCUUACAAAAUAGUCUUAAGACAAAGGCUAUGAGAGUUGGUUUUGUACUUGUUGGAUGGAAUAUAACACACACUUUAGUAGUACCCAAGGCUUUACAAAACACAACCAUCGGCUUAAGAAAAAAAAAGUUUUUUAGACAGAAAACAGCUAUUUCUGUAGUUAUGAAAAUUGAUGGAUGUAUAAACGACCAUCAGCUUACAAAAUAGUCUUAAGACAAAGGCUAUGAAAGUUGGUUUUGUACUUGUUGGAUGGAAAAUAACGACCACAAGUCAUGAAAACUAAGUGUCACGAGUCCCGUUGCGUGAACUUGUUGGAUGGAAAAUAACGACCACAAGUCAUGAAAAGUAAUGUCCCGAGUCCCGUUGGUAUUGUACGGUUUGAGAGAAGUCUUCAGACAAAGACUCUAAAUCUAAACCCCAGGUCCAUUGCUUAACCACAGCUCUAUGAGCAAGGGAUACUUGAGGAUGCAAAGUGUGAGAAAAUUUAGUACCAACGGCUUAUUAAAAGACAGAGUUUGUGAAUGAAAAUGUCUUCAUCACGUACGUUAGUACCCACGGCUUAUGAACAAGCUUUAAGACAGAGUUUGUAAAACUACCAACGGCUUAAAGACAACUGUUUAGACAGAGAAUGUGAUUGUAAGACAGUCUUUAGACAUAGACUAUUCAUCACAUUAGUACCCAUGGCUUGCAAGAAAGUCUUUUGAUAAAGACAUUGUAAAACUACCACUCGCUUAAAAAAGACAACUGUUUAGACAGAAAAUGUGAUUGUAAAAAAGUCUUUAGAUAGAGACUGUAUUCAUAACAUAGUACCCACGGCUUGCAAAUGACUGAAUCUGUUUUUGAAUACAUCAUCAGAUUUGUACCCACGGCUUGCAAAAAAGGUCUUCAGGCAAAGACUGUUUUUGAAUACAUCAUCAGAUUUCUACCCACGGCUUUGAAAAAAAAGUUAUAGACAAAGGCUAUGAGAUCGUCAUAAUGGCUUUAAAGAAUCAUCAACCGUUUCUUUCUUUUUUUACCACAAGUUAUCAAUUUUCUCAAUCUCUGAACUUUUUUUUUCUUUCCAGGUGAAACCGAGUCAUGUUCUUUUAGCUGUCAGACUCUUAAAGCUUCAGUUAUCAAAGUGUUGAAGGUUGCAACAUGGACGACACAUAUGAAGUCUAGAAUCCUUGUAGUGGAGAUGCAUAUCAACAGAAGGGUGCAGCCGAGCCAGCUCCUGCUACAGCAGGUACUUAAGCACCGUUUAGGAGAAACAUACAUGAAGUGAACUAGUUAUAUUUGUUUAGGUAUGGGCUUCACAAACUGUUCAUAUCCUCAUUGACGCUUGUUCAGGUAUAUGUUUACCUUCACUUUUUUCUCUUACAAAAUUAUAUUAUUACGCCCCAUUUUAAGAUUAUAUAUGUUUUA